GUGCAGUCACAUAAUGGAUACAGUAGCUUGUAAUUCAAAAUACAUUACAUCAAUUCAAUACAUGAAGUCAGUCAUGAUCUUCAAAGUACACCAUAGCCGAGAACUUUCAUAAGUGAAAAAAUGAAACAACUAACAAAAAUAUGACUCAAAUGGCUGCCAUUCAAGACAUGAAGAGUCCUAUUUCUUCAUUUGGUCAGGCACCAUCGUGCAUGUGCAAGGAACAUGUAGCUUUCAUUUGUAAUGAACUCUUAGAUUUCCAAGACUGAGUUACUAUAUUCACUAAGCAUAUGGCAUUCAGAAUCAGAUGAACUUCAUCCAGUAACAUUGACUUAUACAGCAUCAUGCAAAUUAUCAUAACUUAUCUUUAGCAUUAGAGUAGAAAAAGCUCUCACAAGUUGAUGCUUAUUUUCUAAGGAGUGGAACUUUACUAAGAGUGUUGCAUGGGUCCUACAACAAAUCCUGAAUUGAACACUAUAAAAAGGGAAAUUCUAUUCAUCAAAACCAACCAAGAGACUGAGAACAGUUGGAUCACCUCUAGUGGGGUUAAAGGGCAUUUCCCAUCCACACGAUUUGCUCCUGGCGUUAUUACCCUACCUCUUCUCCUGAAUUUUCCU
rnacentral:misc_RNA from 1 species